CUAAUCCUCGUGCGGUGGGGACGGUGGGAGGGGACGUGGAGGCAACGCAGCGAGCUCUCGUAGCUCAACGAGCGUCUGGACCAUCCAGUCAAUGAGUGCGCCCUGACGUCUGAGGCGCCGGUCGAAGUCCCGAGCCACCUCACGCGCUACCGGAGGUAGGUCAGCGUAAACGUGCUGCGGGUACUGUGGAGGCUCAGGAGCUGGCUGAACUGGUGGUACGUGGACCUCCUCGACCCGGUCCUCCUGCGCCGGAUCAUCCUGAGCCUGAGGCUGAGCCUGAGCCUGAGCCUGAGCCUGACCCUCAGGCUGAUCCUCAGGCUCAUCGAUGCCCAGAGCCUGUCGCUGAGCCCGCCGAGCGGCCUGCUGAACAUCAGGAAGGGCUAAGAUCCCAGGCCUCACCUCAAUAACAACCGGGAUGACCUCCGGCAACACCACUGGCUGAAAAAUCAGCCCGUCAGCACCCCUGAACCGCAGACCGACAUCAAAGGUACGGGUGAUCUGCAUAGCGGCUACUGACGCGCGACCCAACCUGGAUGACGGGACCGGAUCGGACAGCAGCGGAUCAAGCUCGGGCACGAUCCCUAGCGAUCGUGCAAUGGCGGUGAUAAACGAGCCACUGUGAAGAUACCCGCGGAGCUGCCGGUGGUAUGCAGUAGCAAAGUACUCUGCCAGGCUGGCUGCUAGAUCGCAGGGCUGGCGGCGUAGUAGGCAG
rnacentral:lncRNA from 1 species